rnacentral:tRNA from 1 species
GGGCGGUUAGCUCAGGGGUAGAGCGCUUGCCUUACAAGCAAGAUGUCACUGGUUCGAUCCCAGUACCGCCCA